rnacentral:misc_RNA from 1 species
UUUCCGUAGGUGAACCUGCGGAAGGAUCAUUCAUAAUAAGUGUUUUAUGGCACUUUUUUAAAUCCAUAUCCACCUUGUGUGCAAUGUCAGGGUUGAUUUUUCUCUCGAGAGGAUCAACCCCAAACAUCAACUAUAUCUCAACUCUUUGUCUGAAAAAUAUUAUGAAUAAGACAAUUCAAAAUACAACUUUCAACAACGGAUCUCUUGGCUCUC